UACGGGGGGGGGCAAGCGUUGUUCGGAAUUACUGGGCGUAAAGGGCUCGUAGGUGGCCAACUAAGUCAGACGUGAAAUCCCUCGGCUUAACCGGGGAACUGCGUCUGAUACUGGAUGGCUUGAGUUCGGGAGAGGGAUGCGGAAUUCCAGGUGUAGCGGUGAAAUGCGUAGAUAUCUGGAGGAACACCGGUGGCGAAGGCGGGUCUCUGGGCAGUAACUGACGCUGAGGAGCGAAAGCGUGGGGAGCGAACAGG
rnacentral:rRNA from 1 species